CGCCUCAAAUAGGCCACUGCUGCUGCUGCUGCUUUUUUCGGGGAAGUCGUGUUCUUGUGAACUUCUAGCAAUCACAAGCAUGACCUGCGGACAAAUGGGAUGAAAGGGAGCCACCAUGUGAAUGUGACUUGGCCAGUUGACAUUACCUUGGUCCUUUAGCAUUGCCUGAACGUUGCUUCCUGCCCUCCUCCUGUCGAAAGAUGAGCGCCACAAGUGAGACAAGACCAAUCCCUUUUUCCACACUUUUAACUGUAACCUUAUGCGCAUGCUUUAGUGCACCUUUUGUCUUGCUUGAACUUGCACCUGCAGUGGCCACCUGUGCCAAGAGAAAAGUGGAGCUUUUAUGUCAUACGGGAGAUCAUUACUUUUUGACGGUUCUUAUCUAUACAUGUCUGUAAAAGGAACUGUGUGUGUGUGUUUGCAUCUUACUGAACAGGAUGGUAAUGCCAAUAAGACAAAGGACCGCUGCAAGGAUCAGACCUCCAACACGCAGUCUGUAGUAGUCUGUGGAGAGCGGGAUUUCCAUAAGAUGAUACAAAAGCAGGUCAUCUCAUCAAACAGGUCAAAUAAGAGUAUUUACCAAAGGUGAAUGGGUCAUCGUCAGCUGUAAGACACAAAAUAAAGUUGGUUUGAGGAUCAGGUAAAGGAAAUCAUGUCAGAAAAGGUCUGUGAGGACAAGAGAUUUGAACAAAUGUUCCCGUUCAUUGAAGGCCGGAGGAUCCAACCGGCACGUCUACAAAGAGAUCCUGUGAACUUUGAUUCAUUCCGUGAGCAAGAAGAGGCGACAAUUGAUUUUGUGACAGAACUUUCAGCAGGAACAUAAAAGUCAACACAAUGUGAAAUGAGUGGACACUAUGACCUUGUUUUAGGUCCUAACUAAUGAUUGACCACCAGUGUCAAGAUGGGGGUUUUUUGGGGGCAUAAAUAUACACCCAGUCAGCCAUGCUUACGUUUCUGUUCUUCAGCAAUCACCAGCGAGAUGGCUGGAAAAGAUGAGAAGCACAUCAUAGGGUGAGGAGACAUAAUGAUUAUUUGUCAAAUAGCAGCAAAAACACAAGAGUCAUUAAAGUAUCGAUAGUCAUGAUCAUUGUGUUUGUUCUUUUUUAAAUAUCUUUUCUUUGAACUAAAUAAACAUUUGGUUGUGCUUUUAUAUUAGUCAAGAAUUUGAUGAUUACUUUAUUGGAGCCUAAAAUGGGUGCGCUGGAGCUUGCAAAUAAUUCAGCAUGUUUUUUUUUCUCGAACAUUCACAUGCAGGAAAUGGCCAGCAGAGGGCGGCAGUGCUUCACUUGCCAACCCGGAUUGCAUGUUCUUUCGUUCGACUACUUCCAGAGUUCUAAUGAUUCAGACUUAAUCGUUGUGGAUAA